GUGGGGAAUAUUGGACAAUGGGGGAAACCCUGAUCCAGCAAUGCCGCGUGGGUGAUGAAGGCCUUCGGGUUGUAAAGCCCUUUCGGCGGGGACGAUGAUGACGGUACCCGCAGAAGAAGCCCCGGCUAACUUCGUGCCAGCAGCCGCGGUAAUACGAAGGGGGCUAGCGUUGUUCGGAAUUACUGGGCGUAAAGGGCGCGUAGGCGGCUCUGUGCGUCGGGCGUGAAAUCCCUGGGCUCAACCCAGGAGUGGCGCUCGAUACGGCGGAGCUCGAGUGUGGGAGAGGAUGGUGGAAUUCCCAGUGUAGAGGUGAAAUUCGUAGAUAUUGGGAAGAACACCGGUGGCGAAGGCGGCCAUCUGGACCACAACUGACGCUGAGGCGCGAAAGCGUGGGGAGCAAACAGGAUUAGAUACCCGAGUAGUCC
rnacentral:rRNA from 1 species